GGGGAUAUGGCGGAAUUGGCAGACGCAACGGACUUAAAAUCCGUUGACUCAUUGAGUCGUAAGGGUUCAAGUCCCUUUAUCCCCA
rnacentral:tRNA from 1 species